UACGUAGGGGCCUAGCGUUGUCCGGAAUUAUUGGGCGUAAAGAGCUCGUAGGCGGUUCGGCAAGUCGGAUGUGAAAUCUCCACGCUUAACGUGGAGGGGCCAUUCGAAACUGCUGUGACUCGAGUCCGGUAGGGGAGUGUGGAAUUCCCGGUGUAGCGGUGAAAUGCGCAGAUAUCGGAAGGAACACCUGUGGCGAAAGCGGCGCACUGGACCAAAACUGACGCUGAGGCGCGAAAGCUAGGGGAGCAAACAGG
rnacentral:rRNA from 1 species